UGUUCACUAAAACGUACUAAAACAAAAGAUACAAUAAUUGUAUACGAUAGGAGGCUCUGCAUGCGAGUGUGACGAAACAGUCAAAUGCAUCAAGAAUAACAAUCUCAGGUUUGUUACCAUAUCCACAGCAAAAGCCCCUAGUCUCUGCCGGGGGGGCUUGGACGUGAAGGCCAGAAAUCCGCAAAGCACCACCAACCAGACUCGGCCGGGGUUGGGGGGUGGUGACUGACUUUCUGCUCACACAAUACCACCCUGGAAACAGUGUCCCAAGUUUAGAAUCCCCAUUUCUUCUACAAUCAGAUUCUUUUAAAGGAUUUUACAAGUACUUUUUGGAUACAAUUUUGCUGACCUCUUAAAUGUUUGUUGACCUCUUAAAUGUUUGCUGACCUCUCCAAAUAUAAGAUAGUUUUGCCAAAAGGAUUCCGGUCUCCGUAAAC
rnacentral:lncRNA from 1 species